GCCCAGUGAUGAUACCAAGGCGAAUGUGAGCUCACUGAUUGCAAGUCUGAGUUCUCCUGUGUUCAUUUUGGCUGGUAAUCUUGACAGGGCAGCGGAGAUUUGCUGCUUUGUUGUAAGGGCCAGCCUACAGUCAUCAAGCCCCUUUCCCUCACACUCUUCUCUAAAGUAUGGAGUGAGAGCAUAUGUGAAGGGUGCUGAUAGUGUGUGUGUGUUUGUGUGUGUGUUUGUGGGCACAGGUAGAUUCUCAGAACUUUGCUUUAUUCAGUAGGCAUUGAACUGCAUCUUUGGUAAUCUGAGGGUG